CUACGGGCGGCAGCAGUGGGGAAUUUUGCGCAAUGGGCGAAAGCCUGACGCAGCAAUACCGCGUGAGUGAAGAAGGCCUUUGGGUCGUAAAGCUCUUUUCUGGGGGAAGAUAGUGUCGGUACCCCAGGAAUAAGCACCGGCUAACUCCGUGCCAGCAGCCGCGGUAAUACGGAGGGUGCAAGCGUUGUUCGGAUUUACUGGGCGUAAAGGGCACGUAGGCGGCACAGCAAGUUAAGGGUGAAAUCCCGGGGCUCAACUCCGGAACUGCUCUUAAAACUGCUGAGCUAGAGAUGGUCAGAGGCGGGUAGAAUUCCUGGUGUAGAGGUGAAAUUCGUAGAUAUCAGGAGGAAUACCGGUGGCGAAGGCGGCCCGCUGGGGCCAUUCUGACGCUAAGGUGCGAAAGCGUGGGGAGCGAACGGGAUUAGAUACCCCCGUAGUC
rnacentral:rRNA from 1 species